rnacentral:rRNA from 1 species
AACGGGUGAGUAAUACAUAAGUAACCUGCCCUAGACAGGGGGAUAACUAUUGGAAACGAUAGCUAAGACCGCAUAGGUACGGACACUGCAUGGUGACCGUAUUAAAAGUGCCUCAAAGCACUGGUAGAGGAUGGACUUAUGGCGCAUUAGCUGGUUGGUGAGGUAACGGCCCACCAAGGCGACGAUCAGUAGCCGGCCUGAGAGGGUGAACGGCCACAUUGGGACUGAGACACGGCCCAAACUCCUACGGGAGGCAGCAUG